rnacentral:rRNA from 1 species
GACGAACGCUGGCGGCGUGCCUAAUACAUGCAAGUAGAACGCUGAAGAGAGGAGCUUGCUCUUCUUGGAUGAGUUGCGAACGGGUGAGUAACGCGUAGGUAACCUGCCUUGUAGCGGGGGAUAACUAUUGGAAACGAUAGCUAAUACCGCAUAACAAUGGAUGACACAUGUCAUUUAUUUGAAAGGGGCAAUUGCUCCACUACAAGAUGGACCUGCGUUGUAUUAGCUAGUAGGUGAGGUAAUGGCUCACCUAGGCGACGAUACAUAGCCGACCUGAGAGGGUGAUCGGCCACACUGGGACUGAGACACGGCCCAGACUCCUACGGGAGGCAGCAGUAGGGAAUCUUCGGCAAUGGGGGCAACCCUGACCGAGCAACGCCGCGUGAGUGAAGAAGGUUUUCGGAUCGUAAAGCUCUGUUGUAAGUCAAGAACGGGUGUGAGAGUGGAAAGUUCACACUAUGACGGUAGCUUACCAGAAAGGGACGGCUAACUACGUGCCAGCAGCCGCGGUAAUACGUAGGUCCCGAGCGUUGUCCGGAUUUAUUGGGCGUAAGGCGAGCGCAGGCGGUUUGAUAAGUCUGAAGUUAAGGCUGUGGCUCAACCAUAGUUCGCUUUGGAAACUGUCAAACUUGAGUGCAGAAGGGGAGAGUGGAAUUCCAUGUGUAGCGGUGAAAUGCGUAGAUAUAUGGAGGAACACCGGUGGCGAAAGCGGCUCUCUGGUCUGUAACUGACGCUGAGGCUCGAAAGCGUGGGGAGCGAACAGGAUUAGAUACCCUGGUAGUCCACGCCGUAAACGAUGAGUGCUAGGUGUUGGAUCCUUUCCGGGAUUCAGUGCCGCAGCUAACGCAUUAAGCACUCCGCCUGGGGAGUACGACCGCAAGGUUGAAACUCAAAGGAAUUGACGGGGGCCCGCACAAGCGGUGGAGCAUGUGGUUUAAUUCGAAGCAACGCGAAGAACCUUACCAGGUCUUGACAUCCCGAUGCUAUUUCUAGAGAUAGAAAGUUACUUCGGUACAUCGGUGACAGGUGGUGCAUGGUUGUCGUCAGCUCGUGUCGUGAGAUGUUGGGUUAAGUCCCGCAACGAGCGCAACCCCUAUUGUUAGUUGCCAUCAUUCAGUUGGGCACUCUAGCGAGACUGCCGGUAAUAAACCGGAGGAAGGUGGGGAUGACGUCAAAUCAUCAUGCCCCUUAUGACCUGGGCUACACACGUGCUACAAUGGUUGGUACAACGAGUUGCGAGUCGGUGACGGCGAGCUAAUCUCUUAAAGCCAAUCUCAGUUCGGAUUGUAGGCUGCAACUCGCCUACAUGAAGUCGGAAUCGCUAGUAAUCGCGGAUCAGCACGCCGCGGUGAAUACGUUCCCGGGCCU